rnacentral:tRNA from 1 species
ACUGCGUAGCUCAGUUGGAAGAGCAUUGGGCUAGUAUUCCAAAGGUCGUAGGUUCGAAUCCCACCAUGGCCG